rnacentral:lncRNA from 1 species
GGAAUUUGCAGGCGAAAUGGAUUUUGAAGAGUUCCAUUUGUACUUAAGGCCUGUGUAUUUUGAAUUUGCAAGUCACAAAGAAAAAGCAGACCAGCCCUCCCCAAUAUUUAUUACUUUGCUUGAACAUCAGGACAUUGCUGUGGACAGAUACAUUCCUUCCAGUUUAAUGCUAAGUAUUCAAGAUCUUGACAAUCAAAUUGGAAAAUUUAGCUUUCGCACUAAAGAAAAUAUUCUUCAGGUGUUGGUGAAACCUUAUGGAAUAGAAAACUUGCAGAUUGCUCUCGCCUGCCAGGUCACUCAUAAAAACACCGUCCUUGUUGCUGUCCAGCAGGCUUCGUUUUGCCCCAUGAUGCAGCCCAGACGAACACUGGAUGCAAAAGAAGGAAGCCUUAGUCUGCGCAGUCACAGCAGCUCUGCCAGUGGAAGUUCUACAGUUGAGAAUGAAACAGAAGACCAGCUGUCAGCUACUACCACACUAAUUUCAUAUUCCAUUGGGCAUUUUGCAGCUAGACACCGCAGGUUAAGGAG